AGUGAACGCUGGCGGGAGGCCUAACACAUGCAAGUCGAACGAGUGGCGGACGGGUGAGGAAUACAUCGGAACGUGCUCAGUCGUGGGGGAUAACGACGGGAAACUUUGGCUAAUACCGCAUACGAUUGAAUCGGCCGAUGUCGGAUUAGCUAGUUGGGGGGGUAAAGGCUCACCAAGGCGACGAUCCGUAGCUGGUCUGAGAGGAUGAUCGGCCACACUGGAACUGAGACACGGCCCAGACUCCUACGGGAGGCAGCAGUGGGGAAUAUUGGACAAUGGGCGAAAGCCUGAUCCAGCCAUGCCGCGUGUGUGAAGAAGGUCUUCGGAUUGUAAAGCACUUUAGGUAGGGAAGCGGUAUCUACAGAAUAAGCACCGGCUAACUACGUGCCAGCAGCCGCGGUAAUUC
rnacentral:rRNA from 1 species